rnacentral:tRNA from 1 species
ACCGAGGGUUCGAAUCCCUCUCUUUCCG